GCUCUUGUAGUUCAACGGAUAGAACGGAAGUUUCCUAAACUUUUGAUGGCGGUUCGAUUCCGCCCAAGAGUA
rnacentral:tRNA from 1 species